rnacentral:misc_RNA from 1 species
CACCCCCUACCGAACCGUUUCGUCAAACUUCCCGUAUCUCAGACAAGCAAUAUGUUCCGCUUCACGCACCGCGCCCUCGCCCGCAAGGCCGCAGUAAAGGCUGGCAGCAGGACCUCAGCUGCUGCGGGUACCACAGCUGCCCUCCACGCGGCGCAGGCUUCCCCUCAGAAUGCGGUGAGCAUUCCGCCGAUUCCGGGCGUGCGCAGCGUCCGCGCGUUCCGCACGCAGAAGAUGGAAGCGUUGCAGCCGCAGCCCGCCGCUGCUGCAGGCAAGAAGGCCUUCGCCACCAAAGGGUCGAAGCACGCCAAGGCAGCCUUGAAGUCGCGCCCGUCGAAGAAGGUCCAGGUGCCGAAGAAGGCCGCCGCGCCAGCGAAGGCACAGCAGGCGAAGCAGGUCAAGGCGCCAAAGAGCGCCGCCAAGGAGAUCUCCAAGAAGGCCAAGACCGCCAAAGCGCGCAAGUAAACGCACCUUUCAUCAACUUCAGGUGACGAGGAAGACAGCUUUCACGACGGAGGAGAUACCAAGGAGGUGCCACAAUGCUGACAGCGAUCAGGGCUGUUGAGGCAGCAUCGGCAUCACUCCCACCGAUGUCGCGCGUUCUCUCGCUCAUGCCUGUCCACUUUCCUCCCACGCGCCCUUCCCUUCUCCAGAGUCGUCGUCGGAGUUUUCCCAUCACCCAUCCCUCUCAUAGAUUAUCCGCCGUAUUUUCUUUCCGUCUUACACCAUUCAACAUGAGUUCGCUUGCGAACUCAUUCUGAGCUGGGUUAGUGCUUCGACAGUCACUGCCCCUCCCUCCCUCCUUCUCUCUGAGAGUACGCGUGCGCGUGUGUGCAUGUGCGUGGCUGUGCACAAGCGCGGUUUCCUUUUCCUUUCUGCGAGGGAAGGGGGCUUGUUCUUCGUUCUCGGAUGUUGUUUUGGUGUAGCGUCCGUGUCCCUAACUGAUUGGUGUUUCUUUUUCUGAAUCUUGUGGGGUGUGUGGAUGUGGGCAGGUCUUGACCCUCGGCUCUCCUCCUCGCUCGCACCGCUUUUCCUUUUAGUCUUGUGGUGCGUGGCACAUAUUUCACUCGACCCUCAUCAAUUCCUCCUCUCCCUCUCGCGCUCUCACCUUCGCCUGCUUCAGCCUCUCCGUGCGUGUGCACCUGUGCUCAUGCCUUCCUGUUACGAAUGUAGGCGAAGGAGUAGAUGCGGGCCCGCGAGAGCUGAUUUUGCACAAAUGAUUAACAUGAGCCCCCGUACCACUCGUUUUCCUCGCCCCCUUUCUCCCGCUCCGUAUCUCUCUCGCUCGUCCUUUUUCGCGCUCCAUCGCUGCGGCGCCGCGUGCGCCCGUGACAGAGAGCAGAGAGCACAGAGCAAGGAGGGAUGCGUUUCAGGAGAGGAAAAGGCAUAGAAAUCAUAAUGCAAGUGCAACGAUGGCGCACGACUACCUUUAAGAACG